rnacentral:tRNA from 1 species
UGGCUUUGUAGCUCAGGUAGGUAGAGCAGCCUCUUCGAGGAAGGUCGCCGGUUCGAGUCCGGUCAAAGCAA